rnacentral:tRNA from 1 species
GGAGAAGUGCCAGAGUGGUCGAUCGGGCCGCACUCGAAAUGCGGUGUACCCGCGAGGGUACCGGGGGUUCGAAUCCCUCCUUCUCCG